CCUACGGGCGGCAGCAGUGAGGAAUAUUGGUCAAUGGGCGAGAGCCUGAACCAGCCAAGUCGCGUGAAGGAUGACGGCCCUACGGGUUGUAAACUUCUUUUGUCAGGGAGCAAUUGAGUCCACGUGUGGGCUUAUCGAGAGUACCUGAAGAAAAAGCAUCGGCUAACUCCGUGCCAGCAGCCGUGGUCAUACGGAGGAUGAGAGCGUUAUCCGGUUUUAUUGGGUUUAAGGGGUGCGUAGGCGGAAUAUCAAGUCAGCGGGAAAAAUUCGGGGCUCAACCCCGUCGUGCCGUUGAAACUGGUGUUCUUGAGUGGGCGAGAGGUAGGCGGAAUGCGUGGUGUAGCGGUGAAAUGCAUAGAUAUCACGCAGAACUCCGAUUGCGAAGGCAGCAUACCGGCGCGCAACUGACGCUCAUGCACGAAAGUGUGGGUAUCGAACAGGAUUAGAUACCCCAGUAGUC
rnacentral:rRNA from 1 species